CAGCCGCCGCGGGAAUACGUAGGUGGCAAGCGUUGUCCGGAAUUAUUGGGCGUAAAGGGCUCGCAGGCGGUUUCUUAAGUCUGAUGUGAAAGCCCCCGGCUCAACCGGGGAGGGUCAUUGGAAACUGGGAAACUUGAGUGCAGAAGAGGAGAGUGGAAUUCCACGUGUAGCGGUGAAAUGCGUAGAGAUGUGGAGGAACACCAGUGGCGAAGGCGACUCUCUGGUCUGUAACUGACGCUGAGGAGCGAAAGCGUGGGGAGCGAACAGGAUUAGAUACCCCUAGUCCCGUCUCUUAUACACA
rnacentral:rRNA from 1 species